UUGAAUAGAUGACUGUUUGCCUAGGACUGCAACCACUCCUGCGGAGGCACCUCAGCCAGGCUUCCCCUACUGCAAAGAAGAGAACAAGCACGGUCAGGUAGCACAUGUCCCAGUUGCUAUGGCAACGGAGGAGGCCUGGUGGAGAGAUUUCCUGUUCCCCCAGUGACCCAGCCACAGACGGCAGGGCUGCCAGCCCAAAGAGUACUGAGGUAGAGGUCUUGGCUAGACCCAGCUGUCCCAACUGGUUCCUCCCCAAGCAACUCCACAGUGAGCAGGGAGGUCGAGCUUGAGCCCAGUGCCAAAGCCACGAGGAUGACGGCGAAGCUUCCGAGCCUCUUAGAAAAAUUAGGAUAAAAAACAACCCACCCACCCCUACCACUUCAAUAGCACAGAUGCAUGACAUUGGUUCAAAGGUGAAGAUUGUAUGAUAAUAUGGAUGGAGAACUUAAACAGAACAAUAGAGAUGUAGCAGUGGGAAUUUCAAUGGAAGAUGGAUUCUGUGAAGAGUAAACAUGAGUGGUCCUGUCAUUUGUCUGCUUUGAUAUGAGUGCAAUGGGUUGCCGCCGCAGGGUUCCCAUGUGAUGCUUCUUCAGGCCCAGAAAGCUGAUCUUGUUCAGGGAUGGGAAGAGUGUCACAUCAGUCUUCACAAGAGAUGGAAUUGGCGAUUCUGCUGACUCAUAAUAGAUC